AUUGACCGCUGGCGGCAGGCCUAACACAUGCAAGUCGAACGAGUGGCGGACGGGUGAAUAAUGUCUGGGAAACUGCCUGAUGGCGGGGGAUAACUCCUGGAAACGGUAUCUAAUACCGCAUACCCUCAGAUGUGCCCAGAUGGGAUUUGCUUGUUGGUGGGGUACCGGCUCACCAAGGCGACGCUCCCUAGCUGGUCUGAGAGGAUGACCAGCCACACUGGAACUGAGACACGGUCCAGACUCCUACGGGAGGCAGCAGUGGGGAAUAUUUCACAAUGGGCGCAAGCCUGAUGCAGCCAUGCCGCGUGUAUGAAGAAGGCCGUCGGGUUGUAAAGUACGUUCAGCGGGGAGGCGUUACCCGCAGAAGAAGCACCGGCGAACUCCGUGCCAGCAGCCGCGGUAAUAC
rnacentral:rRNA from 1 species